rnacentral:tRNA from 1 species
GCACUGGUAGCUCAGUGGUAAAACUCCUACCUUCCAUGCUGGGGAGCCAGGUUCAAUUUCUGGCCAAUGCA